rnacentral:lncRNA from 1 species
NNNNNACUUAUGCAGUCUCUAUACGUGCUCUCCCUGCGCACCCGGGCACGCUCAUGCACCCCCACACAUGCACCCUCUGCACACACACACACACACACACACACACACGUAUCCACGUGCAUGCUCACGUAUCCCCUGUCCGUACUCACCCCCUGCACACACCUCCGAGCUCAGGGUCCCCCCGGGGGGGGGGGAUUUGCUCCUCCGAUGACCACGCCGCUCGCCGGGAGCCAUGCUGACACCCAGGGCUGCUCCCGUCGCCUCUGCAGCCUCCCUGUGACCCCCCCGCGGGCGCACACCCCCCCGCCGCCCCGGCUGCCCGCCAGCCCUCUCCCCAGCACAGGGCCUCUUUUUUCAUGCCCUUCAUUACUUUUUUGCACCUCCUCUUUGGACACCCCCCGCCCAGGCCCUGGCGAGCGCCGCGGGGGCAGACGGUGUCUCGGUGGCUGCGGAGCCUCCCGGCACCCCCAGGCACCCCAGGGGUGCUGCGACCCCGGGGGGGGGCCAUGGGUGGGCAGGGGGCCGGCCCCAAACACCCUUUAGAAAUGUCAUGGAAGAGGGCUGAAACCCUGAACCCUGCUCAAAACGCCCGCUGGGUCCCUAUGGCCACCUAUAGACACCGGUGCAGACCCACGCAGGAGCGGCCGCACACGCAGGGGCACCAUACGUGUCCCCACAGCCCUGCGCGAGGCUCGUUCGGACACCUAUGGGCGCAGCAUACGCGCGUGGGCACCUCCGUACACACCUGGGUGCUCAUAUCGGUCUGUACAUGCAUGGGCACAGCGGCACGCACAGGGGCGCUUAUACGGAGCCAUAGGUGCUCACGCGGGGCCGUGCACGUACAUCGGCCCCCACGCAGGUCCCUAAGCACACGAGCGUGCCCAUACGCGCGUGAGCACUUAUACGAUCCGUACACCCACCCGGGCGCUCGGAGGGACCCAGGCACCCACGGGCACCCGUGCAAGCCCGUAAGCGCGGGUGCGAGCCCAAGCCCGGAGCAGCCCCCGUGCACCCCCCGAGCGCCCCCGACGCACCCCCCAGCCACGGAGGUUCGGUCAUCGAUCCGGGAAGCCGAACACGGAGGUGUCCGGGGAGGGUUACGGCCGGCUUUCCCCCCGCCUGCGAGCCACGAGCGUGCCUGCUCUCAUCCCGCGGGCAGCCAGCGAGC